rnacentral:rRNA from 1 species
AUACGAAGGGUGCAAGCGUUAAUCGGAAUUACUGGGCGUAAAGCGCGCGUAGGUGGUUUUGUAAGUUGGAGGUGAAAUCCCCGGGCUCAACCUGGGAACUGCCUCCAAAACUGCAUGACUAGAGUACGGUAGAGGGUGGUGGAAUUUCCUGUGUAGCGGUGAAAUGCGUAGAUAUAGGGAGGAACACCAGUGGCGAAGGCGACCACCUGGACUGAUACUGACACUGAGGUGCGAAAGCGUGGGGAGC